CAAUUCACAGCUGAGUCUGAUUUUCUGAAACAAAGAGCAAUAACCAAAUGGCGAUGCUCUUUAGCAAGCUUCUCUGAGCUGAUAAUGUUGAGCAGAUUCAUGAGGCUGAAGAAAAGGAGGCUACAGUCUCCCUCAUCUUCUGUGUCCCAAGAGUGACCAGAGGAAACGUUUGUCAACCUUGGUUAUUAUUAUGCCAGAGGUUUGUCAUGACUAUAAUGGAUUUCAGUGGAGUCUAAAUGCAUGAAAAAUGCCUAGAAAUUAUUCCAGUUCAAAAGUUAAAAUGUUCACAUACCCUAUUGUAUUCCUUUUAACCUUCUACCAUAAUUUUAUAUCUUUUUUUUUUUUCUCAGACAAAUAAUAGUCAUGAUCCUUCAAGCAUGCAGACCAGAACUAUUCUUAGAAGGGAGCUGCAGGAGGUUUAUUAUGUCAUGAAACACAGAGCCAGAACAAAGGACUACUGAAUCACUCACCUUAUCUUCAUCUAAGAAACCUGAGAAUUACAGGGUUUCUCUUUUCCUCCCAAAUUCAAGAACUGCACUUGCCAAGACUGCAGGUUUUAUGGUUGAGACUGUAUUACAAAAAUGUAAAAAGACAGAUGCACAUAAUGUUUCUUACUGUAUAUAUGACUCAUCUAAAAUGCUUAAAAACAAGGUUCAGGAUAUUUUUUAUCAAAGUUUAAGCCUUUGUUUCCGAAUCUAGAUGUCUGAUUGCUUGGCACUUAUUUAAGCGCUCUCCUUAAGAGUGCCACAGAUAGCAUCUUUCCCUGAAAACCUGAAACAGGAUUAAAAUUAUUUCACAGAUUAAGUCACAAUUCUUAGUUCACUGAGAACAGAAAUCUAGGUUUACUUAUCUAUAUCUUAUAUAUCACUUUGUUGUAUAUCUUAUAUAUAACUGGUUUUCAAUACUGUUGACUAAAUGAAUAAAUUAAAUAGGAAGGAUUUAAGAGUUUUCCCAGUAUAUUAUAGCACCCUAAUAUAAGCCACCUUUAUCAUAUUCUAUUUCUGUAACUGUCUUUAUAAUUAUUUAGAAAACUGAUUCUAAAAAUAAGUUUAAUUGAUGUUGGUGAUGUGGGGAAAUGUAUCAAACAGAAGCAAUGACUGUAACAGCUUUUAUGAAUAAUCUGGUGCAGCUAUAAAUCCUGGCUCUGCCCAUCAACCUUCCCUCCCUUUGUCUCAUCCCAUGGCUUCUCCCCAGCCUUCCCCCAAGCACUCCCAGUCUCAUUAUCCCAUGAUCUGCUAAACUGCAGUUUACCUCCUGGAACCAGCAGAAACACAUGUCACUGAGAAUUAGGGAAUUGGAGCCAGUUACAAGCCACAAAAUAGGGUCACAAAGUAUCUGAACCUGAAAAUUAAGAGUUUUUAUAUUUUUAAUGAUAAAAAACUUAAUUGGACACUUCUAAACGUUUGAGCCAGAUGGAUUGCAUAAUGUCUCGGCAUUCAUAAUGAAUGGGAUGGGAAAGAGAACUUUAACAGCAUGUUAUUUGUUAAUCAUCUGAAAAGUCAUAUUACCGUUGACUUCAUUUGCUGAUGGUGGAAGGAUAUUGUCUGAAUACUACUACUAAUAAACAUUUGCUAUUCUUGAAGGCAAAUUACUUAAAAAUAGGAUAUAGCAAGACAGUGCUCAUGUAUUACUACACUUACGGUAUUUUUUAUGCUGCACUUUAUCCCAGAAAGAGUAAUUCCAUUUUCAUACAUUUAUUAGCAGUUAAUUCUUACCAAUGUUUAUUUAAUAGCAAGUAAGUAUACCAAUCACGCUGCCAAAUACUGUUGUAACUUAAGAAGUGUACUACAAGAAGCUACAGCUCCUUCUGCAUAACCCUUAAGAUGUGUACCCUUGCCAAAUGCUAACCUAUGCGUAAACAAGUGAAACUCUUAAAGGGCAAUGGAGUUGUCAAGACUCAAUUUUAAGAAAAAGUGACUCUCUCAACAGAAAGCUUGAGGGAUCUGACUGGUUCGUGUCUAAGUUUCUUGAAACAUUCCCUGCAGAUGAUUAACCCCAGAAGUGAUCAAAACGCCUGAGCAACUGGAAAAACAAUCACUUCUGGGAAAGCCUUUGUUUCUUUUCAUUGCCAUUUUACGUUGGUCCACUUCGGAUCGCCUUCAGUUCUCAUAAACAAGCCAAAAGAGGACACAGGUGCUUCUAGUUUGUACACGCCCGUCUCUACACCUGCGGGAAAGCGGCACAGGUCUGUCCUCUUAACGCUCAAGAACACCUGACCAAUGUUUUUUUAAACUGCUUAACUAGUAAGAAUAUUUUAUUCGGGUCCACUUUCAUGGGCUAAAAGAAGGGGGGGGGGGGGGUGGAUCUCAAAACACCGUCCCAAUAAGCAAUUUCUCAUCUCUUCCGUCGAUGAUCAAAGCGGUAUUGCCCUAGGACGUGGGAGGGGGGGUCUUUAAAAUUUUACCUGGUUAUUGUUCUAAUGCUGAACUCCUAACGUCAAAAUGAGAUCAUAAACUUAUUCCGAGUUACAAAUAACAAAGAAAAAGUCUAGGGGAGCGGGAGAGAGCGCCGCAGACGCUCAACAGGGAGCAAGGCUUGGGGCACUCCGGGUGGCUUUGCGGACUCGCGGCGCCGUCGCUAUGGGAACCCCACGCAAGCGCAGAGCGCGCGGCUGUGUGUCCAGGACUAGCCUCCACCGCCCUGCCCCGCGCCGCUCGGGUGCCCCGGGUUUAUUCCAGGAAAGGGCAAUGGAGUAAAUCCUCCCAGCACUGAGAGCACCCGGUCUUCUCUGAAAGGGUCCUGAGUGAGGUCACUGGGCGCAGGAAAAGCUCGUGAGACACCAAAUGUAAUGGACACCGCACUUCCCUUGCUGGGAAAAGCGGACCUGCUCUUUGCGGCGACUGCGGGUCAGACAGGCGGCCCGCCUAGAGGUGAAGCACCCUGCAGUGAGCGGUGCUUUACCCCUCACCGUGCAUAAACCCCCACUUACCACCACAAGAGACCUGAGAGUUAAAUCCUGGCGCAGGCUCACACACCCAUCCUUCGAAAUUACGGGACCUCAAGACCAGUUGUGGUCCAGUUCUCCGCCAGGGGGUUUGAGGGAUCCCCACUCGCACACCUCACACUGUCCUAAAGAGCGUGUCCCGGCCGGAACUGCAGAGAGAGGAACUCGAGCCACUUGCACACCUGGACUGCAGUACCAGUCCUCUUCUUUCCCGUCCGCCACCCCGACUCCCCCCAAAGCACUGACCUGCUCAACUUUGAGUGCUCGAGAGAUGGAUUCCUCUGAGUCCUCCGAAGUGCUGGCUUGAUGAGUUAUUGGUCCCUGUGACUCCAACUCCAAAACCCUGUGGAGGAGCAGAAAAGCCCCCCAGAAGGACUCGUCUGCACACCAGCCUGUAGAUCCCCAGAGACCGGCAGGACAGAAUGGGUCGCCGCCGCCACAACCUGCUUUCUCAUUCAAAUCCUCACACUCACUCCGGAGCCCCCUCCCUGCCAGGCCUCAGCUCCGGCGGAAAUCAGGAACUGGAGCCGCGGAGAGCGGACUGGAGCUGGCGCCACCGCCAGGGGACCCAGCGACUGGGCGCGAGGGUCCGAGCGCUGGGCCCGGACCCCAGGGCUUACACCUCCUUGAGGGGUUCCCCGGCAGCCAAGGUCAGGAGUACUGGAGAUGAACUCUUUUUGUUGUUGUUGUUUUGUUUUCUCCCUCAAGUUUCAAAGGGUCCCAAACCUAGGGAAACCCCUCGAUACUCAGUUCGGGGCUGAGAUACUCAAGAACGUCCGCGGUGGGACAGUAAAGGAGUCUGGCGAAAUGAAACUGGGAAGGAAGGGAGCAGGGACUAUGGGCAGUUUGCACCGAAGUAAAAAGUGCCAGAAGUACAUUUUAAGGGAAAUUCCCACCUGCUCAUCUUAUCUCUCCUCUUGUUUUUUUGUUGUUUGUUUGCUUUUACCAUUCUAAGAAAAUAGCAUCUCUUAUUCUGUUACAACCAGGAAAACCUGCUUUGAGUAAAGUGGAGCUAAAACUGAGCAAGAGAGGGUAAAAGCCCACUUUUAUUUCCCCGCCCCCUCUCCCAGGUGCUUCUCCUGAGUUAACAUGCCAGUUACUCAAUCAGAUCAAUUUAGUGGCAGGGGGACUCGGGCGGCCCACAGGCGAUGAACGAGAGCUCGGGCCUGCGGAGGGAAGCAGUAGGGACUCCAGUGGUGCUAAAACGAUGCAAUCUACCGAGCAUCCCGACGUGGCGAGUGACUAGGUCGCUGCGACGGCUGGAGCGCGCACCCAGGCGGUCGCGCUGUGAUCCGGUGUCGGCAUUCCGGGAUUUGCAUUUAUCAGCCUUCAUUCAACCUGCCCUAUUAGGCAAUUACAAUGUCACAGCAAAGCACCAUGGGCAAGAAGAAACUUUAUCCCAGAAGGCGAUCCUGGACUCUCAGAAAAAAGGAAAAAGCCACCUGAAUAGUUACUUGGAUUUCUUCCUGCCAGGAGUACCAGGAAGAAAUCAGUUUGGGAAAAGAUGUAGAAGGUCCUUUGGCUCCAUAGAAAGACACUGUCCCAAAUUUUUGGCCCAGCUGCAAAUUCCCAGCUUAGAAGAAAUGAAGCAGAUCCUCCUUCCAGCCCUAGGUUGCUUUUUGGAGAGUUGUUUGACUGUUAAUCUCCCUGGUGAUUAGGAAGCACCCUCCCCCAUGAAAGAGAAAGGGGGAGAAAGAUACUCAGGACAACCCCUCACACAACCCUAGAAGUUAUCCAUGUCCCCCCAACCUUCUGUGUUUGCAUCUGCAAUUUUUCAGAUAGGAAGAAGACAAAUGGUGAAAUAAAUGCAUAAAAAUGUUCAGAACAAGGGCACUUGUUUGCUAUGCAUCCUUUAUUUUGAUAGUUUUAAUCAAUUACCAUAAUUUUGAGAACACUACAUUUUUUUAAAUUAUACAAUAUUUCAAACUUACCAAAAACAAGGCAAACAACCCAAAUCAUACUCUCAUUCCUUCAUCCCUUCAUUUUUUAAAUAAAGCAUUCCAGAUACAGCUAAAACCCCAUCUCGUGGCCCUUCUCCCUCCCUUUCUCCUCAAAGGCAAUCAUUCUGAAGUUGGUGUGAAUCAUACUUCAUCAUGGUCUUAAGUGUAUAUAUCCAUAAAUCUUUUAAUGUAGCUUUUCCCUCUGAGUCUUUCUUUCACCAUUAAUCAGAGAAAAAUUACUAACUAAAACCAAGAAAACGUGGUUGUUACACUAAGUUUUUAGAAGCAGGACAGAACUAUUUUCCCCUGCUUGUGACAAUCAAGGAGAAUGAUAACAAAGGGAUUAGACAGUGGUAGUAAACAGCCUCUCUAGGUUACACAACCCCUUACAUGGUUACUGAACAGUCCAUAGGAAAACAAACCAAAUAACACCCCGUUCUUCCUUCACUGGUUACAAGGGAAUUGGAGAAAAUGGGACCUAGGUUAACACUUCUUUGAGCAGGUAAAACAUAAGUCCCAAAUAGUAAUAAAGUACAUUUUUUGACUGGUCUCUUGGUCACGUAAGCUAUAAUCUUUUAGUAAGGAUUUCCAAGCAUAAGGAACUCCUGCUGGGAGCUCAAUUCAAGGUUGAAAUCAGCCUUGCUGAAAAAUCUGGGGUUGAAUUCUCCCUGCUUCCCCAUACACAGGGACCUCCAUCCUCGCAGGGAGUUACAGAAAGCCCUUUAC
ensembl:lncRNA